UGUUGGUGUGACAGCGUGCCUUUUGAAGAAUGAGCCUGCGAGUUAGUGAUAUGUGGCGAGGUUAACCCGUGAGGGGCAGCCGUAGCGAAAGCGAGUCUUAAUAGGGCGUAUGAGUCGCAUGUUCUAGACCCGAAGCGAAGUGAUCUAUCCAUGGCCAGGUUGAAGCGACGGUAAGACGUCGUGGAGGACCGAACCCACUUCAGUUGAAAAUGGAGGGGAUGAGCUGUGGAUAGGGGUGAAAGGCCAAUCAAACUUCGUGAUAGCUGGUUCUCUCCGAAAUGCAUUUAGGUGCAGCGUUGCGUGUUUCUUGCCGGAGGUAGAGCUACUGGAUGGACGAUGGGCCCCAAAAGGUUACUGACUUCAGCCAAACUCCGAAUGCCGGUAAGUGAGAGCGCAGCAGUGAGACGGUGGGGGAUAAGCUUCAUCGUCGAGAGGGAAACAACCCAGACCACCAUCUAAGGUCCCUAAGCGCGUGCUAAGUGGGAAAGGAUGUGGAGUUGCAUAGACAACCAGGAGGUUGGCUUAGAAGCAGCCACCCUUGAAAGAGUGCGUAAUAGCUCACUGGUCAAGUGAUUCCGCGCCGACAAUGUAACGGGGCUCAAGCACGCCACCGAAGUUGUGGCAUUUAUAUUAUAGGCAGGCCUUCGUGGUCCAGCCGUAUGGAUGGGUAGGAGAGCGUCGUGUGGCCAGCGAAGCGGCGGUGUGAACCAGCCGUGGAGGCCACACGAGUGAGAAUGCAGGCAUGAGUAGCGAAAGACGGGUGAGAAACCCGUCCUCCGAAAGACCAAGGGUUCCAGGGCCAGGCUAAUCCGCCCUGGGUAAGUCGGGACCUAAGGCGAGGCCGACAGGCGUAGUCGAUGGACAACGGGUUGAUAUUCCCGUACCGAUGAAGAACCGC
rnacentral:rRNA from 1 species